GGAAUAUUUUUAAUGCUUCCUCUUUUGCUCAUUGUAAAGCUGGUGAGAGACUAAAUCUUUGCUGGAUGAUUUCACAACUCAGCAUGACCAUCAUUUAGGAAGGCAGAGAAAACGCUUUUGCUUUUUUUUCUUUUUUUUUUUUUUUAAUGUUAUAGGCAAAGAUCCAAGAAAGUGAAGGGAUCUCAAGUGACUAAGUACAAGGGGCGACCACCAGCUGAUAAUUAAAAUUUUGAAUGACACCCUGAGGGAAUGGUGUACAAGAACAGCAGCGUUUAAUUCCUUACAUUGGAAAGAAAACUAAGACCAAGUUUCCGACUCUUUGUUGAAGAAAUGGUGAAAAUGUCAAAAAAUUGACUGCUUUUAUGACCCACAACAUGAAAAUCCCUCUGCCUCUCUCUAAGACACUUAGUGGAAUUUGAACAAAAUUCAAGGGGAAGAACAUGAAGAACAACCUUUAUGAACCUUUAAAAGGCUGAAUCGCUAAAAUAGACUAUUAUAUGGUGGAGAAAAGGAUAGAAGAAGAAGAUUCCUGUGUGACAUACCGCUUAGAUGGGACUGAAGUGUACCUCGACUCAGGAGCACAGAUCUUCCAGGUCUCCCAUGAAACGAUUUCUGAUUUCUUCCUUGCCCUCCUGUAGAGAUGCAUGUUUCCUUCCCUUUCCUUGAAACUGAAUCAAAUAUGUCAUUGUCACUCCUGAUGUCUGUAAAUUUGCUCUCCACAGAUCUAAAAGGGAAAGGAGUUGGACUCGAUGAUCCUAGUGGGUCCCUUCCAACUCUAUGAUUCUGUGAUUUAAUAAUAGUCAGUUGAUGUCCACCGGAUGAACAUAUAGUAAGCUGUAUCUUGGAGAAAAAAUAAUGGAAAAGAAUAAAGUAAAACAGAGAUAAUUUGAUCUUUUAUCAAGAAUGGGAGCUUGGAACUUCCCCUGGGGGUUGUUACUCUCUUGCUGGAGACCAUUACACAGGAACAUGAAAGUCUCUCCAUAGGGAAUUAUUUUGGCUGCCUUCAGCUACUGGAAGGCUGCUGUAAAGUCUCCCCACAGUCUUCUCUUCUCCAGGCUGAACAACUCCAACUCUCUCGGCCUGUCUUCAUAGGAGAGGUACUCCAGUCCUCGGAACAUCUUUGUGCCACUCACAUCUGGAACCACUCUAGCAAGUCUAUAUCUUUCUUGUGCUGAGAACCCCAGAGCUGGGCACAGUACUACAGGUGGGGUCUUAUGAGUGCAGAGUAGAGGGGCAAAAUCACCUCCCUCAACCUGCUGCUCACACCUCUUUUGAUGCAGUCCAGGAUGCUGUUAGCUUUCUGGGCUGUAAGUGCACACACUGUUGGCUUAUGUCCAGCUUUUAUCCAAUAGAACGCCCAAGUCCUUCCCUGCAGGGCUGGUCGCAAUGAGUUCUUGUCGCAGACUGUACUUUUGUUUGAGAUUGCCCCGACCCAGGUGCAGCACCUUGCACUCAGACUUGUUGAACCUCAUGAGAUCUCCAUGGGCUCACUUCAUGAACUUGCCCAGGUCCCACUGGAUGGCAUCCUGUCCUUAAGGUGUGUCAAUCACACAACUCAGCUUGGUGUCAUCUGCAGACUUGCUGAGGUGCACUCGAUAUUGACAUCUAUGUCAUUGAUAAAGAUACAAAAGAGCACUGGUCCCAAGACAGCCCUGAGGGACACCACUUAUCACUGAACACAUGGACAUAGAGAUUUGUCCACAACUCCAUCCAGCCAAUUCCUUAUCCACCAAAUAGUCCAACCUUCAAAUCCAUACCUCUCCAGUUUGGAGAUAAGAAUGUCAUAUGGAAAGGACAAUUUCUUACUAAGUAACAGAGAAUGUCCAUGACUUUGUUUUUGAAUGGUAUUUUCAGUUAAGGAAUUUAUCCAGUGACCAUACUUUGCCACAAUCACCUUUUUACAUAUACAUAUAGCUUUUAGGCCAUACUAUAAAAUAUAUUGUGACAUAUUGUUAUUGUGAUAGCUAACUCCCAUUAACAUGUCUGGUCCUUACUUUCUAAUUGAGUUGGAAAACUGAAAAGACUGAAUUUGUUGGUAUUCCGUUGAGACAACUUAGAGAGAUACCAGAAGGGAUGGGGAGAAGAUGAACUGGUGUUUGACUUUGAAACAAUCAUCUUCUAUUUGACGCAAAGAGUCAAAGACAGAGGUACAGUUUUUAUGGUUUUGAAUAAAUAUGUAACCUAUAUUUGUAUCAGUAAUGAAAAUUUAUUUCUGAGCCUUUUCCAUACAUCUGUCCUUAUUGUACUCCUUGCCUCUCAAUUGCCUCAAUACAGAGUAAUGUUUAAAAGUUGUACAGAAGCUUAAAACAAUAUUAUCGUUCUGUUAGUUUGUUGUAUCGUACAGGAAUACUUCUGCUCUCUGGAGGUUGCAUCAGAUUUCUUCCUUACAAACAACCUGUCACAAGAAAAAUGAACCAAUACAGUUAAUUUUUAGAUUAAAAUAUUUGGGAGUUGGCAAAAAAAAUAUUAUGGAUGGAGCUAUAUAAACUGAAAUUUAUUUAACUUGAUACAGAAUCACUCUUUCAAUUAGUCUUCCUAUUAACAAAUUCAUAAAAGAGACCAUGAGCUCAAUACCUCUGAGAUAGCUCAACAUCUCUGCGUUUCAUAAGCUUUUUCUUUUUCUCUCCAGAAUACAGUCUGGGCCAAAUGGCAAAACUGGAACUGCCACUACUUCUAGAUGUAUGAGUAAAAUUAAGAAGUCACUGGCCAAUAAUGUUAACCAAAAUGCUCACACUGUGCUUUUGUGACUGCUAACUCAAGCAAAAAAAAACAUUUUCCAUUUUUCUUCUUAGUCUAUAAAAUUGGAUUAAAUCCAGCCUCUAUUAAAAGCUGUCAGACAUACAGCACAAAUUCUCAAGUCUUGGUAAAGAGCCAAAAUAGAUGGCUCAUCACUUUCUCACUUGCAUUACUCAUGUGAGAGAAAAAUACCAUAGACAAAUGGAAAAGUAAGUUUAUCAGCAUCAGAAAAUCUGCAGAAAAUUAUGGUGAUACAGAAAUAAUUUCAAAAUAAAUGAUCCUCAUUGUGAAUUUUUUGUUAUUGUGCUUUUUAGGUAGUUUUGCUUAGUACUAGGCAUUUAAAACUAAAAUAAUUAUGAAUUUUCAUAGAAAAUAUACUUAAGCUUCGUGGGCAUUUACUUGCUUAAAAAAGGGGGACAAACAGUGUCUAGAGUAUCCAGCACAGAUCUGUGCAUUUAAUUGCAGAUAACCAUUUUUUGUAAAGGUGGAUCCCACACUGCUUAAGUACAUUCGUCUUUUGAUUAAGGGUUGUACGAACUCCUGACAAAUGUAAAUGUAAUUAAAGCUAGAAAGCCUCAAAUUGCUUAAAACUAUUGAACAUAGGUAUGGAGAACAACACUUGCAGAGAUUCCUCUGAUGGUAGAUCUGUUGACAAUUCCCUUUUUGUGACACCGGCAAUUUAUCUCCUUUGCAGUGCGCCCUGAGAACUCACUUUCAGCUCUGUCCCACGAAGCAGAUUCAGGAAACAAGAAAAAAGCUGAAGAACUGUUCAGUAAAUUAAGAACUUGUGUCUUUCACUAUAUAAGUAGACCCUCAGCUUACUAUAUGAUCCAAAGCACGUAUAUAAUCUUGUCAAGUGUCUCAGAAUAGAAGCCACAUUCCUCCAGCACACAUCUGGGCAUACAUGUUACUAAAAAUGUACUACCAAUAAAAACUUCCAGUGACAUUUAGAUAGGCUUGUACCAGUUUCUAGGCAAAACUAUGGAAAUUAUUAUGUGUGGUUUAUUUUGUAAAGAAAUAUAGAGUAUUAAAAUAAAUAAUGACAUUUGAUGUAAUUUCAUGAAAAACGAGUUUUCAGGCUGAUUGCAUUUCGUAAUGAAAUUACAAGUUUGGUUUACAAA